UAAAUUUUUCAAAAGAUAAAAUGCUAUUUUGGUCAUUUUAGUUUUUGAGUGCUAUUUUUGUGAUAUAAACUUAGAAAGGUGCUAUUUUGGAGAUUUGCCCUUAUUAAUAAUAGACUUAACUUGUUUUUGAUUUUGUCUUUAAUAUCAGCCGGUUGAUGGUAAAAAAAAAACGAAUUCUUGUUCUAUUUUCUAUAAAAUCACAUACAAUAUACAACACUACGGUAAAGGCAAGACUUACAGAGGGACUUCUUUAUUGGGGUUGAUUUCAAGAAUCACUACAACUAAUGUUCAACGCUUAAAAUGAUUCAGAUGUGUUUGAAAAUUAAAUACAACAAACUUGACCAUUAUACAUAAUCUUUUUGUUUAAAGUUCUUAUAGUAUUAGAAAAUAUAAGCUAUAUUUAUAUAUUUGUGUUUAUAAUAAUAUUUCAAUUUUAAUAUUUACAUAUUUAAAAUAUUAAAAAAAACAGUUUACAAUAUUUUGUGAUUAUCGUAAAACGUCAACAGUCUUUUGGUAGUGCUAUGAAAUGGUUAUUACUUUUUAUAGACCAAAAUUCUGUACAGUUGAGUAAAAGUAAAACAUGGCAAUCAUUUUUUUAAUACUGCUCUUUUUGUUCUUAAAAUAGCUUCUCUACAAUCUUGUUGUGUCUGUGUAUGUAUGGGCAGAUCUUUUGCUACUUAUAAUAGUAAAUGAAACAUAAUAUAAAAGAAAGGCCUGUUAAGAUUAACAAUCAGAGAGAUCUUGAAAAGAAGAAAAAGCAAACACUGUCGGUGACUUUUUUCCCCAUUAUUAAAUAGAUCAUUGUACGGUUCUGUUUAUUUUAUUAAUAGGCUUUCCCGGAGAAGAAGGUUUCCAACUUUCAACGUUUAAAAAGUGUUGUCAUCAGCAUUCUAAUAUUAGUUCCUCUAAUUAAUGCCUUUUCUCCUUUUCUUCAAAUCAACAGAAACGCAGAAACUCCUCAUUUGCUGUCCAGAGACAAAGACAUAUGGUCACUACUCACGAGACUAUACUGUGUUAAAUCCCCAAUAAGUCUCUGUUAAGUUGUUUUUUUUUUUUUGUUAAAAGGCUUUCAUUGCAUAUAAUAAAUAAAAGAGAAAACAUACAAGCCUGCUUGAGGCAGUGUUUUAGAGCAAGACCCAGUACAGAAACCAUUCUAAAAGUCUCUGUUAAGUUGUUGACAUGUUGCUCUUGUAGUUUGUUGUGUUGUUACAAAUAGAGUAACUGAAACUGUUAUAUUUCAAAAGGAAAUCACGAGCCAUUGUUUUGAGUUUGAUUUAAGACUUGUAUUCUAUUUUAUACUAGUGGUUUUACCGCGCGGGGUGUUUGCCAUUUGUGUUAUCAAACAAUGAUCAUAUGUCAUUAGACAUGUUCAAGCAAUACAAUUGUUUAAUUUGAACAUCUACGAUUGUAUUUUUUAACUGUAUCUACUGUUGUAGUUGCUUAUUUUGUCAACGUUCUUUCUUUUAUUUAGUUGUCAUCGGUCAUAAUGUUAAAAAUGUAUGAUCCCACAUACUGUUCUUUCUGAAGCAGUACUUAAAGGUUGCAUUCUUGUGUGCUAUUAAAGGAAUGCUCAUGCGCAGCUUCUGGAGGCGUUCUGCUGGUGGUUUUGAAUACCUUUUGUAGAACAGCAAAGGUCCUCAUACUAAGCAAGCCUUCAGUAGUAACGAUUUGGUGUGUGUACGAUGUAUAAGGCUAGUGGUACUGUUUGAAUGUUUCAGCAAGAAGGGAAAUUUGAAAUAGGCUAUAGGUGAACCUCAUAUGUUCAAAUAUUGAUGAAUGUUUUUUAAGACAAUAAAAAUAUAGACAAUGAGAGGUAACAUGAUCUUUAUACACAAAUGGCUGAGAAUAUUAUCGAGAAAGUUUAAAUGAAAUAAUCAGGAUGAUGGUGAGAAUUAGAGCAAUGAUCACUGAAGUAACGAUCCAUUUGUUCUCAUCAUUCUUCUUGACGUAGCGGUCAAGACCGUUUGGACAAAGUGUUCUCGUCUUUAUGGUGGCUUCAGCAGUGGAAGUUAGAGUUUCAAGGGUACUUUCGGUUAUUUGAGGUUCAUUGUUAUUGGGUUUGUUUUUUUUUUGUCAAUAUUGGGUUUGUUUAUUUCCAAAAAAAAAAGACAAACUGAUAUAGAUUAUAAUAUUUGUAUUAUAUUAUGUAUUUUAAUCAAAUAUUAUUUGUUGACAAAAAAAAUAGAUGUUCAACUUCUGGUUGGAUUGAAACUGAAAUAUAGAUUAGAAAAGAUGGAUUGUUAAAAAAAAUUAACAGGUUUGAUAAAAAGAAGAAGUUGAAAAUUUAAGCACUAUAUAAAAUCUUCUAAAAUGAUGACAAGGUGUCAAAUUUAUAGAGUAUUUAAUAAUGAAAUCUU